rnacentral:rRNA from 1 species
AUGUAUCAUUGGCGAAAUCACAUUAUUAUUCUGAGAUAUCUAUCUGUAUUACUCCACCAGAUUCCGCUAUGCACAAGAAACAUUGAUGACUUUUGGUCGUGGAAUUUUGAGCGGUCUGGAGUUUUGUUUCCCCGCUCCGGUUAUCACAUGCUGGUAAGCACCAAGUGGCAUCACAAAGAUUGGCUGGAAGCCUGGAAGCUGAGAACAUGGUCUUCAAACGCUUCAUAUGAUGGAGAAACUUGGAAAUCACUUUGGAACACUUUGUCCCAGAAAAUUGAGGUUCUUCCUGUGGUACCUAGCUUUGCAUUCCUUACCUACGAAUGA